UCCCUGGCGGCUCAGCCAGUAAAGCGUCUGCCUGCAAUGCAGGAGAUCUGAGUUCAAUCUCUUGGUCAGGAAU
rfam:Ovis aries breed Texel chromosome 7, whole genome shotgun sequence.